rnacentral:rRNA from 1 species
UGGGGAAUAUUGCACAAUGGGCGAAAGCCUGAUGCAGCAACGCCGCGUGAGGGACGACGGCCUUCGGGUUGUAAACCUCUUUUAGCAAAGAAGAAGCGAAAGUGACGGUACUUGCAGAAAAAAGCGCCGGCUAACUACGUGCCAGCAGCCGCGGUAAUACGUAGGGCGCAAGCGUUAUCCGGAAUUAUUGGGCGUAAAGAGCUCGUAGGCGGUUUGUCGCGUCUGCUGUGAAAACCCGAGGCUCAACCUCGGGCCUGCAGUGGGUACGGGCAGACUAGAGUGCGGUAGGGGAGAUUGGAACUCCUGGUGUAGCGGUGAAUGCGCAGAUAUCAGGAAGAACACCGAUGGCGAAGGCAGAUCUCUGGGCCGUAACUGACGCUGAGGAGCGAAAAGGGUGGGGAGCAAAACAGGCUUGAGAUACCCUGGUAGUCCACCCCCGUAAACGUUGGGAACUAGUUGUGGGGUCCAUUCCACGGAUUCCGUGACGCAGCUAACGCAUUAAGUUCCCCGCCUGGGGAGUACGGCCGCAAGGCUAAAACUCAAAUGAAUUGACGGGGUCAUAGCUGUUUCCU